AUUGAACGCUGGCGGCAUGCUUUACACAUGCAAGUCGAACGGGCAGCGCGGGGCAACCUGGCGGCGAGUGGCGAACGGGUGAGUAAUAUAUCGGAACGUACCCAAGAGUGGGGGGAUAACGUAGCGAAAGUUACGCUAAUACCGCAUACGAUCUAAGGAUGAAAGUGGGGGAUCGCAAGACCUCAUGCUCCUGGAGCGGCCGAUAUCUGAUUAGCUAGUUGGUGAGGUAAAGGCUCACCAAGGCCACGAUCAGUAGCUGGUCUGAGAGGACGACCAGCCACACUGGAACUGAGACACGGUCCAGACUCCUAC
rnacentral:rRNA from 1 species